rnacentral:rRNA from 1 species
UACGGAGGGUGCGAGCGUUAAUCGGAAUUACUGGGCGUAAAGGGUGCGUAGGUGGUCAAAUAAGUUAGCUGUGAAAGUCCUGGGCUUAACCUAGGGAGGUCAGCUAAGACUGUUAGACUUGAGUCUAGGAGAGGGUAGUGGAAUUUCCGGUGUAGCGGUGAAAUGCGUAGAGAUCGGAAGGAACACCAGUGGCGAAGGCGGCUACCUGGCCUAAGACUGACACUGAGGCACGAAAGCGUGGGGAGCAAACAGG